UAGGGAAUCUUCGACAAUGGGGGCAACCCUGAUCUAGCCAUGCCGCGUGUGUGAUGAAGGCCUUAGGGUUGUAAAGCACUUUCGCCAGGGAAGAUAAUGACGGUACCUGGUAAAGAAACCCCGGCUAACUCCGUGCCAGCAGCCGCGGUAAUACGGAGGGGGUUAGCGUUGUUCGGAAUUACUGGGCGUAAAGCGCGCGUAGGCGGACUAUUAAGUCAGGGGUGAAAUCCCGGGGCUCAACGCCGGAACUGCGCUUGAUACUGGUAGUCUAGAGUUCGAGAGAGGUGAGUGGAAUUCCGAGUGUAGAGGUGAAAUUCGUAGAUAUUCGGAGGAACACCAGUGGCGAAGGCGGCUCACUGGCUCGAUACUGACGCUGAGGUGCGAAAGUGUGGGGAGCAAACAGGAUUAGAUACCCCCGUAGUCC
rnacentral:rRNA from 1 species